rnacentral:lncRNA from 1 species
UAUUCACAGCACUGCAAGGAGCUAUUGUUCCAUGUCUUACAAAUCACAUGGUGCUGGAAACGAAAGCUGUUAUUGCAAACUCAUCAUACUUUAUUAUUUCCAUCAAAGGGAGAAGGGAAGUCCUCGGGCGGGCUUAGCUGAAAUAUGACAGGGGCCAAGAGGUGAGCUUGAAAAGCCUUUCAUUUUAGCGUGUAGCAGCUGCUGCAAACACUCAAAAUAUUGUAAGGAAGGGCCUAACCAAGAAAAACUGCCAUGAAACCCAGCAACAUUUAUUAAUCUCUGCUUAUUUCUCUGUGGUUCUUCAAUAACAAGUGGCUGUAAGUUAAUAUUUAGGACUAUUCAAGGUGAAUUGUCUGGUCUGGUCAGCUACAAUUUCUUCAGUUUUCUCCAAAGGAAGGAAAAGACAAGGAAAAACAAAUCUAAAAAAACAAAAAUCACACACACUAAAGAGCUUAGUUAUCGCACUAGAUCAUAAGCCCGAAGGAGAUCCUUACAGUGACAGCAUGCGCUUUGGAAGUACAAGGUAAUGCAUUAGUUAUUUUCAAACUAUUAUGAUGUUGAUUGAGUUCUAAAGUUGUCCAUACAGUGUGAUAGGGGGACUAAAGGAUGUCUGUCAGUAUCUGAAUUGAGGUUAAGAUAGAUAGGAACCUUUGUCAAAGGUUCAUUAUUAAUCCCAUAAUGUCUAGUUGUCAGCAACGAGGCAGACUAUUGGGGGACAGUGGGAACCAGUUGGUUUUCAGCUCACCUCAGUCCGCUGGCUCACUGAAAAGCACGAGGUUAACUGUUGUUUGGGUGACCUACUCCUUCCAUCAGAGACUUACUGUCCCUAACCCAAACACCUUCACCUUCCCUCAGAAAUGAAUCACUGCAUAUAAGAGAAGUAUUGUUACAUUCCUACCUCAACAGUCGCCAAAUGUUAUAUAAUCAGAGUAUAGGCAGGCCCUUCAGCAGGUAAUCUUCAAUUUACUGCUGACAGCUAACCUAAUGGAACAAAAGGAGUGAGUCUGUUGUGUGGAAAGUGACAUUUUGAAACUGAAGCUGACUAUGAAAACAUCCAUUCCACUAUCUAUAGUUUAUCUCCAACAAUUUUGAAUUCCUCCAAAAAAGUGUUAGGCAAGGAUCUGAAUUACCAAAGAUAGAAGCGUAUUGAUAUCCUUAGACUCCAACUAUCAUGAGACCUUGGCAUCAUAGCUCAUGCUUGCAAUCCUUGAUUCCUGGCAACAGAGACAGGAGAAACACUGUUAAUUAGAGGUUGGCUUUGCUACAACCAAAAUGAAUAAAUAGUAAAAUAAAUGAAUAAGAUGCUUUUUUGAAAAAUAAUAGUAGGAGACAAGUAGACAAAAGGCACACACAUGAAAAAAAAAACAGUUUUAUUUUAGUUAUCACGGUAGAUAAUAAUCCAGAAGGAGAUUUUCAGCAACUGAAAAUAAUAGGUAGAUCAAGUUAAUGUAGCAGUAAAAACGUUUUAACUCUUCUGAAUGAGAUGAGACAAGAAGUCAAACAAGAACUUAACGUCAACUACAAGAUUCUUUAUUGCAGCUAACAUGAACCCCAAGUUUUAAAGCAUGAAUGUAGGCAUACAAUAUAUGGCUGUAGCAAUGGUAACACACACCUGAAUCCUAGUACUGGAGAGGCUGAGGCAGAAGGAUCUCUCCUGUGUUUGAAGCCAACUUGGACUACAGGGUAAAAAGCUUGUCG